ACCCUACUCUAAUAAGGUUUUGAUAUCUGGAGCUCAUAGGUGGGAGAUAAAGCAUACAUACUUACAAGACAUUUAUUGCAUAGUCAAACCAUGGAUCCAGAGAAACAAGUCAAUAAGUCAAAUCAAGAUGUGCAUGUGUGGCGAGUGAAUGGUGUAUGGUGAUGAUGGUGAUAACAAUGGUGAAAGUCUAAUUCUACUUUUGCUCUUUUUAGGGGAUACAUACCUUUCUUGCUCUUUUGAAACUUUUUGAGGAGAAUGAGAUGCUCUACAUUUUCUUUUUCUUUCCUCUCAGGUGGGUAUCUUGUACCCCUAAUUAUACUGUCGGACACUUAUCCAUUUUUACGUCUCGUCUCACUUUUUCUUUUCUUUCGAGGUUCUGGGCACUUGUCCCUUUUUAUUUCCUCAUAUCCUUUCUCUUUUUUUAAGCACUCAUCUCCUGAAAUAAUAUAGCAAGUGGUAGUAACCAAGAUAACUCGAGCAUUUAUUUUACAGGUAAAAACAGAAAUAGGAGAAUGUUUUUUGGCUAUUCUCUCCCGGAUGAGGAGUAUAAUACUUUUGGGUGGUUCUGGAGAUGGGAAUGAGUGGAUAUAUGUGGAUGCGUACUUCAGGAGUAGAAGCAGCAUGUGUGAGUGAACGUGCAAGUGAAUCUUGAUUUUAACCGCAUGACAAGCUCCUAAGGGUCUACACAACUUGACCACACUCAAUGCUCAUAAGCAGUAAAAAGUAAAUAUAUGGUUCAUAGUCUAAUAAGCAUGUAUAUAUGGCUGUGGUAGGAUUUUAAACUCUCAUCAUACAGGAACUCAUCAUGCAAUAUUUUAAAGAUUUUCAAAGAUAAAAUUCUCCAGAUUUCUAGCAUCUCUAGGAAUAGAUAAACAGCAGCUCAAC
rnacentral:lncRNA from 1 species